rnacentral:rRNA from 1 species
CCCGGGCCUUGUACACACCGCCCGUCACACCACGAAAGUUGGCAAUACCCGAAGCCGGUGGGCUAACCGCAAGGAGGCAGCCGUCUAAGGUAGGGUCGAUGAUUGGGGUG